AGAGAGUUCACUCUUUCUCGAAGAUCUUCUGAUACAGUGGGAAGAAAAGACUGUGUGAUGUGGUGCUAAAUCCAGGAGUAAUUGCCUUUUACUAAAAAAUAAAAUCAAAAUUGAUAAUCUGAGGAGGUGUUUCUGACAGCUCUCCUUCUACCGACACUUCACUUUGCUUCAUGAUGCAAUAAAAAUGUAAG